GUGCUACAAAGAGCAGCAAAACCGCAAGGUAGAGCAAAUCUCAAAAAAGCAUUCUCAGUUCGGAUUGAGGGCUGCAACCCGCCCUCAUGAAGUCGGAGUUGCUAGUAAUCCCGAAUCAGAAUGUCGGGGUGAAUGCGUUCCCGGGUCUUGUACACACCGCCCGUCACGCCAUGGGAGUCGGGGGUACCCGAAGUCGGUGGGCUAACCGCAAGGAGGCAACCGCCUAAGGUAAAACCGAUGACUGGGGUGAAGUCGUAACAAGGUAAC
rnacentral:rRNA from 1 species